rnacentral:rRNA from 1 species
CCAAUCGAACUCGGAUAUAGCUGGUUCUCUCCGAAAUAGCUUUAGGGCUAGCCUCGUGACAGAUUACUGGAGGUAAAGCACUGAAUGGGCUAGGGGUCGAAAGAUUACUGAACCCUAUCAAACUAAGAAUGCCAGAUAAUCGAUUCACGGGAGUCAGACAGCGUGAGAUAAGUUUCGUUGUCGAAAGGGAAACAGCCCAGACCCACAGCUAAGGUCCCUAAAUACGUUUAAGUGGAAAAGGAUGUGGAGUUGCAUAAACAACCAGGAUGUUGGCUUAGAAGCAGCCAUACAUUAAAAGAGUGCGUAAUAGCUCACUGGUCGAGUGACUCUGCGCCGAAAAUUCAACGGGGCUAAAACGUAUACCGAAGCUUGGGCUUCAAGAGCAAUCUUGAGGGGUAGGAGAGCGUCGAAUGAGAGGAGAAGUCAGAGCGGAAGCGCUGGUGGAUUUCAUUCGAGUGAGAAUGCCGGAAUGAGUAGCGAGAAUUAUGUGAGAAUCAUAAUGGCCGAAAAUCUAAGGUUUCCUGAGGAAGGUUCGUCCGCUCAGGGUAAGCCGGGAGCUAAGGUGAGGCGGAAACGCGUAGCCGAUGCACAUACGGUUGAAAUUCCGUAGCCGCAGAAAUACUUAAGUACAGGGACGCUUUGAAAGUUGUGAAGCCGGGCGAUGGUUGACCCGGUCGAAAGGGACCGAAAAUUAGUAGGGAAGUCACAAUGGACGGAGACAAGAAAAGCUGUAUGAAUGUAUAAUGCGCCCGUACCGCAAACCGACACAGGUAGAUAGGAAGAAGAUUCUAAGGCCAACGGGAGAAGGGUUGUUAAGGAACUCGGCAAGUUGACCCCGUAACUUAGGGAUAAGGGGUACUUGAGAAAUCAAGUCGCAGAGAAUAGGCCCAGGCGACUGUUUAGCAAAAACACAGGUCUCUGCUAAAUCGAAAGAUGACGUAUAGGGGCUGACACCUGCCCGGUGCCGGAAGGUUAAGAGGAGAUGUGAGAGCAUUGAAUUGAAGCCCCGGUAAACGGCGGCCGUAACUAUAACGGUCCUAAGGUAGCGAAAUUCCUUGUCAGGUAAGUUCUGACCCGCACGAAUGGUGUAACGAUCUGGGCACUGUCUCAACAACCCGCCCGGCGAAAUUGUAGUACCGGUGAAGAUGCCGGUUACCCGCGACUAGACGGAAAGACCCCAUGGAGCUUUACUGUAGCCUAAUAUUGGAUUUCGGUAUUUCAUGUACAGGAUAGGUGGGAGACUGGGAAGCAUCGGCGUCAGCUGAUGUGGAGUCGGCCUUGGGAUACCACUCUUGGAGUGCUGGAAUUCUAACCUGCGGCCCUGAAUCGGGUCGGGGGACAUUGUUAGGUGGGCAGUUUGACUGGGGCGGUCGCCUCCAAAAGAGUAACGGAGGCGCUCAAAGGUUCGCUCAGCAUGGAUGGAAACCAUGCAGUAGAGUGUAAACGCAGAAGCGAGCCUAACUGCGAGAAUGACGGUUCGAGCAGUAACGAAAGUUGGAGUUAGUGAUCCGGCGGUAUGUGAGUGGAAAUGC